rnacentral:rRNA from 1 species
GGCAGGUUGAAGGUUGGGUAACACUAACUGGAGGACCGAACCGACUAAUGUUGAAAAAUUAGCGGAUGACCUGUGGCUGGGGGUGAAAGGCCAAUCAAACCGGGAGAUAGCUGGUUCUCCCCGAAAGCUAUUUAGGUAGCGCCUCGUGAAUUCAUCUCCGGGGGUAGAGCACUGUUUCGGCUAGGGGGCCAUCCCGGCUUACCAACCCGAUGCAAACUGCGAAUACCGGAGAAUGUUAUCACGGGAGACACACGGCGGGUGCUAACGUCCGUCGUGAAGAGGGAAACAACCCAGACCGCCAGCUAAGGUCCCAAAGUCAUGGUUAAGUGGGAAACGAUGUGGGAAGGCCCAGACAGCCAGGAUGUUGGCUUAGAAGCAGCCAUCAUUUAAAGAAAGCGUAAUAGCUCACUGGUCGAGUCGGCCUGCGCGGAAGAUGUAACGGGGCUAAACCAUGCACCGAAGCUGCGGCAGCGAC